rnacentral:lncRNA from 12 species
CUGGGUCAAGUGGAACUCAUAUGUUAUGGCAGGAUACUGUGGUUUUGUACUGUUGUUUGAUUCUUUUUAUUAACUGAUUAAUGUGUUAUUUUUCCUAGAAAAUAUAUGAAAAUAGUACUAUAAUAAAAGAGUUCAACAGGUAAUUCAGUUGCAUGCUGGGAGGCUGCUGAUUUUGAGGAUUUCCCAGUGAUGCUAGGCAAUGUUUACAUAUAAUCAGAGAGGGAACAAGGGCCAAUAAUACAGAUGACAACAUGGAAACUGUAUUUUCCAACCCAUUGUAACUGUGAAAACAAGCAAUUCCAAAACAAGCCGAUGAAUUAUGCAGGGUUUUGUUGGUCUAUAAACCGCCAUGAAGCAUCAUGAAAGAGUAAUGGAAAGAGGUCAGAGUGUAUGGGUAGGAGUCUUUUUGGAACAGAGGAUACAUAACAGACACAUAUACACACACAGACAGCAUCAUGUUCAGCAGCAUGUCACAGUCACAGGAGUGCAGAGGCUUCAAACACAGCGAUGAAACAGGUGGACCCUACGCUUUGAUGCUGCUGUCCUUUACAGGCGAUUCAAGAACUUAUGCACAUUACCUAUUUGAGGCAUUUGAUACUAACAGGAAUGGCUGUUUGAGUUUUAAGGUAAGCUGUAGCCAAUAGUUUUUGGGUUACUGACAAGAGGUAGGUGACGAUAAUAUGUGAGAGUUUUUCUUUUUACACUUUCUAUGUCAAUCAUAUCUAACACACUUGAUUCAUAUCAUCAGCUGGAUAGGAGAAGAUCUAUGAGUUGAACUAAGUGUGUCAGAGAAGAGAGACAUAAUUGUGCAGAGCAGUGGGUCUACAACAAAGCUUGUAACCUGCCUUCCAGUUGAGAUUUUUUAUUAUUAUUAUUAUUAUUUUUUUUUGUAUGUCUGUUUCCUGACAGAUUAAUAUUUCUUAUUACUGUCAUUUUACAGGAGUUUGUUGCUGGUCUGUCACUUAUCCUUAGAGGCUCAAUAUAUGACCGGCUAAAUAUGAUGCAGUAUGGCAGGGGUGUACCAAAAAACCUGCUCCUGGAGGGCCAGCAUCCUGCAGAGUUGAACUCCAACCAGCUCCAACACAAUUUCCUGGAAGUUUCUAGUGAGUCUGAAGAUCUUGAUUACUUUGGUUCUGGGGUAUUUAAUUAGGGUUGGAGCUAAACUCUACAGGACAGUGGCCCUCCAGGAACAGGUUUGGACACCCCUGCCCUUUGGCCUGGCAAAUGGACCUUCGGUGUUCCAGGGAUUCAUGAAUUAAAUCUUUAAUGAUUUUGUCCCCAAUUUUGUGCUCAUUUACAUUGAUGGCAUUCUCAUCUAUUCCCCUCCUGAACAUCUUAGGCAUGUUGGGCUGAUCCUGCAGUGUCUCUGUGAUCACCGGUUGUUCCCCAAGGCUGAAAAUACCAAUAUUUGGUGCAUUUCCUUGGCUACAUCAUCAAAUCCCAGGGUGUGUAGAUAAAUUAAAAGAAGGUGGAUGCCGUGGAAUUGUGACCUCCUCCAUUCUUCUUAAGGAAAACCCCAAAUCAUUGGAUUUUACCAAGGAGGCUACUACAGCAUUGCAGUCACUUAAGACAUUGUUUAUCACACCCCCUGUCCUUCAACAUCCAUAUCUAGAACUGCACGUUGUGGUUAGGGUUGCAUGCUUCAUCCAUGGGAGUAGGGGCAGUGUUAUCCAAAUGGAAUAAAGCUUUCUCUAACCUCCAUCCAUGCACUUUCUUUUCUAAGAAGCUGUUCUUCUAGGACACCUACUGUAUGAGUGGACUUUGCCACAAACUUGCCAUCAUCAGAAGGAUAUAUGACAAUCCUGGUGCUAGUAGAUAUAUUUCAGAAUACUGAACUAUUGUUUUAACACAUUUUCCAGAACUGUGGCAUCAACUGAGGAGAUUGUAUCUGACAGAGGACCGCAGUUCAUCUUGCAUGUAUGGAAAGCCUUCUGCUGACUACUAGGUAUGACAAUUUGUCAUAUGGUUACCAUCCAAAGACAAACAGCCAAAUGGAGCACAAGAUACAAUAGGUGACACA